rnacentral:rRNA from 1 species
CGUAGGGUGCGAGCGUUAAUCGGAAUUACUGGGCGUAAAGCGUGCGCAGGCGGUUUGGUAAGACAGGAUGUGAAAUCCCCGGGCUUAGCCUGGGGAAUUGCAUUUGUGACUGCCCGGCUAGAGUUUGGCAGAGGGGGGUAGAAUUCCACGUGUAGCAGUGAAAUGCGUAGAUAUGUGGAGGAAUACCGAUGGCGAAGGCAGCCCCCUGGGUCAAGACUGACGCUCAUGCACGAAAGCGUGGGGAGCAAACAGGAUUAGAUACCCUGGUAGUCCACGCCCUAAACGAUGUCUACUAGUUGUCGGGUCUUAAUUGACUUGGUAACGCAGCUAACGCGUGAAGUAGACCGCCUGGGGAGUACGGUCGCAAGAUUA